UAUUAUUUGCAUAGUUCAUCAUAACAUAUGAAUUUUAUAUAUUUAUUUGGAUUAUAUAUAUAUAUAUCUACACAUAAAUAUAUUUCAAGUGUUUCAAAACAUAUUCAGUAUAAAAAUAAAAAUAAUGGCUAAAUGCUACAGCCCAGCUACUGUAAUUUACAGUACAGUACUAUCAGUUCACUUGAAAUGCAGACUAAACCAAAUUCUUCUCCAUCCCUACCUUGGUGUAAGCACCACUGAACAUAGUGGGAAUUCUCAGAAAAAAUGCACAGGCUUGCACUUGUAGUGGGAAUUUCUCCCCACAUCACUGUAGCUCUCCACACCCCCUCCAAUCAAACAGGCUUGUUGUAGCUCAGGAAACCUCCCAGACCUGGCUGUUCUGUGUUGUGGGCCUUGCUGCACUGGGGCAGUUGCCAUGGCAAACAGUUCUGUGUUACCUGACCAGAGCACCUGCUGUCUUUUGCCAUUAGCAGUAACUACUCUCCGCAGAGUCUCAGCUUGCGGAAACUUUUCAGCACUUCUUAGACUCCCAGAACCUAGAGUACAAAAAAAAAUAGGAAGACAUUUAGUGAGGUGGCAAUCCAUCCUAGGUCCUGUUGGAACCGAAGGGAAUUCGUCAUAUCAGAUGGAAAGCUCCUUGUGUCCUGGUUUGAUUUUGCCUCUUCUUCGGCAUGCAAAAUCUCCCUGCUACUCUUUCCCCACUCUCUGCUUUACCCUCUUAAGGCAGGAGUAACCAAUGUGCUGUCGUCCAGGUGUAGCUGCACUCCAACCCCCUCCAGCUCCACUCAGCAUGGCAUGGCCAAUGGUCCAGGAAAAUGGGAGUUGUAAUCCAGCAACACUUUAAGGGCAUGCCUCCAGAUGGCUAUGCCUGCUAUCGUUCUUCUGAUUCAAUUCACUGGAAGCCUCUUGCAGCCUCCUUGAAUAAAUUCCACUCUGUAUUAUUUGUUUAGUCCCUGUAGAAUUUCUCUUGAGUUGCUUCAUGCAGACUCUGGGCCUCUGGGGAGCUUAGGUGCUUUGGAAACCAAUCCCUUUGCCUGACAAUAUUUUUUAAUAGAUGCAUCUCUGAACCCCCUAAGCAAAAAUUAGCUGAACUCUACACGGCCCUUUGAAAGUGAGGAAAUGGAGAGAUUGUUAAGUCUGUUUCAGUGUGAGUCAGCAACAGAAGCAAGCAAUGAAGCCUGGCUUCCCAACCCAACCCUUUCCUCUCUUGCCUUUAUCCCUUUAGCUUAAUAUAGCUGGAAAGGGUUAGGGUAUCGUCUUUUUUAAAAAAGAAAACCCUACAUUGAGGCACACCAAUAAAUGUUAGUGUCUAUUUUGUAUGGGAAUGAAAAAUGUCAAGGCUUAUUCAUUAUGGAACAGCAGGUUGUGUUGUCAGGAAAAUGCCAGGCAUGUGAAAAGGGAGCAGAACACCAGACUGUCUAAAAUCCACAUUCUCUCUGGUUCCUGAAACAAAGAGCUGCUUUACGGGGUUUACUGAUUAUUUGGUUUGCCUGUGCCAUUGCAUAUGCAUGCCAGUAGUUCAUCGCUUUUUACACUUUGGCAAGACAAUGACCGUCUUUCUGUUCUCUGUUCUGAUUUGGCUUCACUCUGGUUUGUUUUAGUUUGGUCUGCUUUUUAAAGCAGGAAUAUGCUGAUUUGCACUUCCUAGAUGCAGAUUUGAGUGCAGCCAUCCUUUUGCACUUCUCUGAAUUUUUUGAUUUUUACACUCAAAAUGUAAAAAUACGUAAAAUGCAUAUUUUAGGUUAGAAUGUGUAUGAAAAUUUGUGCACUGUGAGAAAAUACAUUUAAAAAUAAUGCUGAUUUUUCUGCUGUUGUUUUUUUAAAAAAGCCACUGAUUGCUGCAAAAGCAUAAUGGAACAGACUUAUGAAUGAACACAUGCAAAGCUGAUCUAUCCAUCUCUAGUGCCAGUGGGUGGCAGUGUUUUGCUAUGUCCAAUGUCAAGGUUGCUCCACACAUUUGAGGCUCCCUUGUUUUCUCUGUACAGUUUUGCAUGCAGGUACACGGCCAAAGGAUGUGAAUUAAGCAGUACGCAGUAGCCCGUUUGCAGGAUAAGUGCAGCACUUCCCCAGGCCCCACCCUGCAAUUAUGGGAAUUGUUCAGAGCCUCUUCAUGUACUGCUGGUUUACACUAAUAUUUCCCCACACAAUGGUGUGAUCCUGUAAUGAAAACAUGUGGAGACCUUGAAUAUGUGACAUUACCCAAAAGCAUCUAAAAUAACAGGGAAGAAGGAAUGAUGGUAACCUGUAAGGCACAGUGUGCUUCUUUUUACCUAAUGACAGCCUGACACACUCUUUUGGAGAUCAUGACAGACUGCUAGCUCUGUGUUGCUUUUUCCUUAAUCCUAAACACAUUGCUAAGGAAAUAAGCCCCAUCAAUUCCAAUGAUACUUCUUUCUACCAUCAGAAUGCUGGUUGUAAAGGUGUAAUGAAUGCCUGUUGCAGGACCUGGAUUACACAAAUUGCAAGGGGUUCAGAGGAGACCCAGCCCAUUACCUUUUGUGAUGGUUGCUGUUUAUAGAAGGUUAGGGGGUGGUUGGGGGUGGUUUGACUAAAAUUGAGGAGCAUGUCAAUAUAAUUGAUUUGAUCAAGGCUCAGCAGAGACUUGUCUCAGCACCAUCUUCAUCAGUCGGAAGCAGAGAAUAAAUGAGCUUUGAAUCUGAGCAAUGAAAUGGAACAUUGUCCCCAACACAAUGCCUAUCUUGUGAUGGGAUUUUGAUGCCUUAUGUUUUGGGUUGAAGAGGAGGCUUUGGCCUUCUACUUACUGUGUGGUGGUGGCAACUUUGGAGUUGUGACAAAGGAGGGAUGUAGCUGAAAGAAUUGCAAUCUAGAAGUUUUCUUCUUUUGUGUUUCUUCUUUGUGUGUGUCUUUCUCUGGCCCCUCGUUGGCAUCCAUCUGUCUUGAGAGGCAAUGAAAGAGCGCACCAUUGCUGGUAAAGUCAAACUGUUGGAGGGUUACAGCACCUGCUGUGGCUGUACAGAUAUGAGAGAGACUUGUUUUAUUGCAGCUAGGGCAGAUGAAGGCAUCCAAUUUCGCUGUUGCAGAUGCACCAUGGCGUUUCCUUGUUUCCUACCUUACAAAUAUGGUUAAUUGAGCUCAGGAGGUGGCUACUGUAGCUUAGUGGGGAACUAUGGAAAUCAGCUUUAGAAGGUCUGCUGAUGAGCUGUUACAUAAUUAGCCCCCAUAGGAAGUCCAUUACUAGUUCCAUUGUUCUCUUUCCCAGCCUAUACUCUUUCUUCCUCUUCUUCCAAUGUUAUCUCCUUUAGAAUGGAGGUUGCUAGGGACUUGCAAACCUCUUCAUCUAUAUGUAUUUCUGUUGCUGUGCAUUCUCAGCUUAUGCACAUUGGCACAUUAUUUUCCAAGUUCCAUAGGGCAGACUAGAACCAAUGUAAACCAGUGCACCUCCACUGGAGUGAGUAGUUCAGAUGCUCAGGUGAAGCAGAUCUGUGCCAUGUUGCUAUGGAUCUUGGCCACCAUUUGAGUGGGCCAUGCCUCUGGUUCUGAGGUGGGUCCAUUGCAUUUCCUUCUCUUAUCCUGUGGCGUAAUGCCAGCAGCAAUGGGAAGAAAAAGAAACACUAUAGUAUAUGUGUGUAUAUAUAUAGAAUAACCUAUAGUUUCUAUUUCUAUUGUAUAUUUAUUCUGUAAAUGUUGGUGUAAAUUCUGUUAAAUGACAAAGCAUAUUCCAAAGUGAUCCGUGAACUAUUUUCAUUCUCAGUGCUGUACAGAUCUAUUUUACUGUAUAUUUGAUAUAUUUAUAAUUUUUUAGUGUACGACUGGUGACCACACCCUGCUGAGCUGCCCACUUGGGGGUGGGGUGGGUGGGGAGAGCACAGAAGGGCACUGCCUUCAUUAUUUCUGUGGAAAUAUAACAGUAUUACAUUGUGGCAUUUUGCUAGGCGUUAGAAUUGGGAAGUGGUGGGAUUAAAUGUUAGAUGCCUUGAGCAGUUGCUCCAUUGAGUCUCCUUGUGUUAGGGCUUGUAACUGCUGUUGUGUGUGUGUGUGUGUGUGUUUUAUUAGGGUUAGCUCUAUCUAUAACGAAGUCACUUUCAAAGCCAUUCCAUAGCUUUAUGUUAUGAUGGAUGUUCUCAGUAGAUGACCAUGCCUUGAGGGUGUCUGAAAUUUAUGGCUCAUUCCUGUCAGGGAUAAAACAGGCACACUACAUGCUUUUGUGACCAUGUCCAGGCUAUAUUUCAUAAUUACAAGAAUGAGCCAGAAAUUAUGAUCACUGUUGAACUGAAGUACAGAAAUGGGUGGUGUUAGAUGGGGCACUUCUGAAGUCAAAUUUGACCUUCCUCUUUAGUGUGGGGAGGGCCAAGUGGCCUUUAUUUAGAUAUAUACACCUGUUGUUUGCAUGACCCAACUUUGCAAAAAUAGUAGCCAUCAUAUGAUGAUGGAUCAGUUGAGAAUAUUCUCAGAAGAAAAUAAUAAUCCUGAUCUGCCAUUGAGCUGGCCCCUUUAGUUGAUACCUGAUCCAACCACUUAGGAUAUCUAGUCUCUUAUAGCACACACUACAACUUCCAGAAAGCACAAAAGCCCAGAUGGGAAAAAGCAAUAUUCCAGUGGCCCCUCCAUUCAAUGCCCCUAUCUGGAAUGUAUCCCAUAGUUCUAGUAUAUUCACUCUUAAGUACUCAGGAGCUAUUGAGUGAAUCCACUUUUUAGGGGUCCUUUUCUUUUAUACAUUCAUUCUAUGUAUCCUGAUCCUUCAGGCACAAUCAGGUCAUACCAGGUUUCUGCCUUUUGGUGUAGCCACAUAAAUACUGAAGUUGCUGAAAUGUUUACCCUAUGGAGGAAUGCCAGUCAUACCCAGCACACUAGUUUUAUAUGUUUAACUUGGCUAGCAGCCUCCAGACAAUAGCACAGGCAACAGAGGGAAUUUACAUUCCAAUCCAGAAAAUGAAGUUUCUAUGUAGUACCAAGUUCCACAUGUAGGUCUAAUUCUUUGGAUCAAGAUCUGUGGGCAUAAACUGGCUGCAUUCAAAUGUGAGUGCCAUCAGUUUGUGCUCCGUUGCUUUUGGUUUGAUGCAGAUCCAGGUGUGCAUCCCCACCUGCAAUGCAAAUCAGUCAGAUCAGAGCUGGAUGGACUUCAGACACCCUUGUUGCUUGACAGUAUAUGCCUUUUUAUCUUGUCAUGAGAAGAGCUUGAAGCCAAAGCCUUCCGAUUUUAACCACGGCGCCUCUGUUGCUUUAGAGUGGAACAGGUGAGCUUUUAGGGGUGCAGGGAAUGUAGUUGCCAAUGAAAUCUGAAAGCAUAGAUCCAUAGAUAUGGCUGGUUUAUCAUGUGGGGAAGUAAAACAAUGAAUUGACUGUAGAUGGAAUAAAUAGUCUUAUAUUAACAGUCCAGUCCUAUGCAGAGUUAAAUGUGCUUCGUUUUGCAUAGGUUCAGCCUGCACAUUGACCACAUGGUGGGUUCAUCCUGUAGCAAUGAUAAAUUGAGUAGACUUGGCCACAUCAGAAAAGAUCCCAAGGUUCUUAGUCAUUGGGUUUCAUCCAUUGGAGCGUGGCUGAGCUCAUCAGUGUUUUCUACCUUAAAUUACCUGCACCUGGCAUUCCAGGAGUUGAGGGAAAUGCUCAUCAUUUACCCAAUAAGGCCGCUCUGGAUUAACUUUACUCUUACCAGCUGAUAGUUUUCACGUUGCCUCAAAACUGCUUAAUAAACCUUGGCAACCCCAUCCUCCAUCACCUUUAGAUCAAACUGCCUGUAACAUAAUGAGCUGCAGUUUUAAUCAAAUAUUUAGAUAAAAUAAAAUAAGAUAGCUGCUAAUGCAACAGGGAAUCAGGUUCCUGACCCUGCACUCUUAACCAAUUGUCCCCCCUUCCCCUGAUCUCUUACAGGGACAAGCUUUUUCUAAAUGAUCAAAUAUUACUCGAUCUUCUUGCUAGAGCCAUGUCUUUUAGAUUUUUAAAGUAGCAGUGGGUCCAACAGAUAGCCAUGAGGGAUGUCAGCACAAGACAGGAACUCUGAAUCCUUCACUCUGCUGGGAAAGGAUUCUUACCUCCAGCUGUGGAGCAUCCCCUUCACCACAGCACAGUGGCAUCACAUUGGUGUACUUGACAUAGCAGGUCCAUGCAGAACCACUCAGAGAUCUGUUCCAAAAGAAGGCCCCCCCAAUGAGAUGUUGUCUUGUUCUGGGAAAACACUGUGCUAUUAAUACCUUGGCAGAAUGGCGGAGGUUUCCCAGAAUCCACUGUGGAGGUUGUUUGGCAACCAAAGGCCCGAUUCAGCCGUGGAAUACAAAUAUCCAUUGACUUCAUAGCAAGCCCCAAGAGGUAGAUGCAAGUAGUAUUGUUAGCCUGAAGACAACUCGGGUAUCCUGGGGGAAAGAGGCAGGGAGAGGGUGCACUUGAGCCUAGCAUCCAGUGCCUGACAUGCUGGCCUCCAUAGCUGGGCCCUAAAUCCCUAACUGGGAUGCCUCUAACUGCAGUGAGGAAAGCAGAACUCGGAGCAGGUGUGGUGGCGCUGGCGAGUUUUCUAAACUUUCAUGCAAUGAAAAACAUGGAAAGUACAUGUCUCUGAUGAAACUUUGCUGUAGAAAUAAAAACAGCAGCACAGAUUGUAGUGAUUUGUCUCAUAUACAGUGUAGCCAGUGUAAGCACCAUAUGCACCCUGUGUCAGCGGGAGAAUUCUGUUGUAUGGGAGAAAUACUGUAACAACUCCACAGCAGCCUGCAAUUAAAAGAGUUUCUUCUUUAUUACCAUGCAA